rnacentral:lncRNA from 1 species
GGAGUAGGAUUCAUCUGUGGGAAGUGCUGGGAAGUUUGUGGGCCAGAAACACAGUGCUUGAAUUGCUGGAUCUAUUACUGGAUCUUACCAGACUGGCUUUCUGUAAAGACCGCAUGGCCAGGGUAAACUCUCCAUCCUGCGUAAGGUGCCAAAGCCUGGGAGUCUUGGAGGAGAAGGAAGAACCAGAGAGGGAAUGGACGUCCCCAGUGUUCUCCCACCAGGUGAGACCCUGUGUGCUGGAUGAGGAAGCACGGGGCAGGUGGUGAAGGAAGGGCAAUGAGGCUGGAGCACAUCAUGAUUCCCACCAGGACCAUCAGGCCUGGGGCGUGUGGAGGACACCACAGGCCCGUGGGGCUGAGGCAGUGGCCUUGAGAGGUAAGAGCCAGGUGUGUGGAUCUCAUGGCAGCCCUGAGCUGUGACAGUGCCAAAGCAAACCCUGUGAGGGUGCUGUGUGGUGCCUGGGCCAGGGGAGGCUGAGCCUUUUCAUCCGGCUGCCGCAGUCAGGCUGCAGGGUCAUAUUUGGAAGGCUUUCUCAGCAGUGCACACAUGUUAAUGAUGUUUGAGGAGUAGUUUCUGUGGGAGACCUGGGAGCCAGGCAGCUCUGCAAAUCAGCCCAUUAGUAUUUUUAAA